UACGGGGGGGGCAAGCGUUGUUCGGAAUUACUGGGCGUAAAGGGCUCGUAGGUGGCCAACUAAGUCAGACGUGAAAUCCCUCAGCUUAACUGGGGAACUGCGUCUGAUACUGGAUGGCUUGAGUUUGGGAGAGGGAUGCGGAAUUCCAGGUGUAGCGGUGAAAUGCGUAGAUAUCUGGAGGAACACCGGUGGCGAAGGCGGCCAUCUGGCUCGGUACUGACGCUCAGGUUCGAAAGCGUGGGGAGCAAACAGG
rnacentral:rRNA from 1 species